rnacentral:misc_RNA from 1 species
GAUGAAGAACGCAGCGAAAUGCGAUAAGUAAUGUGAAUUGCAGAAUUCAGUGAAUCAUCGAAUCUUUGAACGCACAUUGCGCCCCUUGGUAUUCCGAGGGGCAUACCUGUUCGAGCGUCAUUAUAACCCCUCAAGCUCAGCUUGGUGUUGGGGCCUGCUGCACUGGCAGCCCUUAAAAUCAGUGGCGGCGCCAUCUGGCUCUAAGCGUAGUAAUUCUUCUCGCUAUGGAGUCCUGGUGGAUGCUUGCCAUCAACCCCCAAUUUUUCUAUGGUUGACCUCGGAUCAGGUAGGGAUACCCGCUGAACUUAAGCAUAUCAAUAAGCGGAGGA